rnacentral:rRNA from 1 species
UACGAAGGGUGCAAACGUUGCUCGGAAUUAUUGGGCGUAAAGGGCGCGUAGGCGGCCCUGCAAGUCAAAGGUGAAAUCCCUCGGCUCAACUGAGGAACUGCCUUUGAAACUGCGGGGCUUGAGGCCGGGAGGGGGUAGCGGAAUUCCCAGUGUAGCGGUGAAAUGCGUAGAUAUUGGGAGGAACACCAGUGGCGAAGGCGGCUACCUGGACCGGUUCUGACGCUGAUGCGCGAAAGCGUGGGUAGCAAACAGG